rnacentral:rRNA from 1 species
UACGAAGGGGGCUAGCGUUGUUCGGAAUUACUGGGCGUAAAGCGUGCGCAGGCGGCUUCUCAAGUCAGGGGUGAAAGCCCAGAGCUUAACUCUGGAAUUGCCUUUGAGACUGAGAGGCUUGAGUACGGGAGAGGUGAGUGGAAUUCCCAGUGUAGAGGUGAAAUUCGUAGAUAUUCGGCGGAACACCAGUGGCGAAGGCGACUCACUGGCCCGAUACUGACGCUGAGGCGCGAAAGCGUGGGGAGCAAACAGG